ensembl:ncRNA B0454.15 ncRNA
CCUAACUCUAAGCCUAAGCCUAAGCCUACGCCUAAGACUAAACCUUAGACAAAGCCGAAGUCUGAGCCGAAGCUUGAGACUAGGCCUA